rnacentral:tRNA from 1 species
GGAUGAUUAGCUCAGCUAGGGAGAGCAAUGCACUUUUAAUGCGUGGGUCGCAGGUUCGAUCCCUGCAUCAUCCA